CAGACCGCAUCUGAGGAAAUUAAUGGCAUAAGAGACGAGAAACUGUUUCAACUAAAACUCGAAAUGUUUUAUUCUUAGUUAACUUGACUCCUUCCAUGUUGUGAGGAUCAAAACGAUUCCCACAAAGAGAAAGUGUUCAUGCAAUACAAGAAAAGGAAUAUUCAGGUGAAAUAAUGUACAUUAUAAGUGCAGAAAAUCUUUGUCAGAAAUUCACCAUUUGGGGUAAGUUUAUUCAACGGUACAUAUUCUUGUUGUGUUACCAUGGUGUGUUUUAUUCAUCUAUUGUGUCAGGUUGAAUAUGUAGCUGUGAAAACAGCUAUGUGUCAAGAAUGAACUUUACCGAGGAUUGGAAUCACUCAACAGUUUUUGCACUCAAAUGAGCUGCAUUUGUAGGCUCUGUUCACAGAAGGUUCUAGUCAUGCUGCCAGAUGAUUAUCCAGUGAAAAAAGCCACUGAUUGAAAUGAAAUUGGGGUUGUGCACAUGCUCAACUUGUAAUUACUAUGUGACAAAACAUGGGGUCAAAUCCAACUGUUAUAUAACUAAAGUUUGGGAACUGGGUCAGACUGACUCUCACCAAGCUGUAAAAAAAACUGACAAAAAAUAUGAGAUAUGAGAAAUUUGUGGAGAUAAAAACUGGGGAAUUUUGCUAGAAAGUUCGCAUAAACAUAACUGAAAGAUUUGCUGAUAUCAAGAGCAAUAAUGUUUCUUUUGCCAAUAUUAGACUGUUGAGAGACCACUGGAGUGUCAC